rnacentral:rRNA from 1 species
GCGCAGCAGGCGAGAAACUUCGGCAAUGGGGGAAACCCUGACCGAGCGACGCCGCGUGUGGGAUGAAGGCCCUUAGGGUUGUAAACCACUGUCAGAGGGGAUGAAAUGCCGGAAAGUUAUCUCUCCGGUUUGACAUAGCCUCAGAGGAAGCACGGGCUAAGUUCGUGCCAGCAGCCGCGGUAAGACGAACUGUGCAAACGUUAUUCGGAAUCACUGGGCUUGAAGAGUGCGUAGGCGGUUUCGUAAGUAGGGUGUGAAAGCCCCCGGCUCAACCGGGGAAUUGCGUCCUAAACUGCGAGGCUGGAGUGAGGUAGGGGUGUGUGGAACUUCCAGUGGAGCGGUGAAAUGUGUUGAUAUUGGAAGGAACGCCGGUGGCGAAAGCGACACACUGGACCUUGUCUGACGCUGAGGCACGAAAGCCAGGGGAGCAAACGGGAUUAGAUACCCCCGUAGU